AUUUAAUUUUCGUCCCAAAU
rnacentral:miRNA from 1 species